rnacentral:lncRNA from 1 species
UCAUAACUGAAUGCAUUGAGUGUGGUCAUCAAGGAACUUCCACGUGAACUUUCCCAAAAGCUCUAGAGAUUGUCUGCUUGCCAAUUGUUACUUCUUUACAGGUUAGUGCUGGGUUCAUCAAUUUUUGAUAUUAUGGUAAAAACAUUUUGUUGGUGUGGCUUAAUUUCCUAUUAUGGAACAAUCAGAAGUUCACCAAUCAAGGUAUGGAAUCUAUUCAAGAAAUACAGGCUUGUUAGCUUAUAGUUCAUAUUCAUUGACCUGCAACCAUUUUUUAGGUAGUGGCUUGCUUAUUUCUUUUUAAUUAAAGAUUAUUCUUUUGACUUUAAGAAUGGUUUAUGUAUUAGUAAGAGUACUUUCAGGAAAUUAAGUCUUCCAAAAAUCAUAGUAGAAGAUGUAUCCACAUGUUUUGGCCCAUUUUGAAAUUUAUCUUUGAUUUAUAAGUAUUCCUUUAAGUUUAUUAUAUGAUUUUUUAUCAGUAAGUAUUAGAUACCCUGUGAGGGUUAUUGCACAUUUUGUGACAUGCUUGUAAACAUGCUAUAUGUUAUGAGUUAUAUGUUGGAUAUAGAAAGAACCCAGGAAAUUGGAUUUGAAGAUGUCAUUUAUUAACAAAUUUUCAUUGUCUCACAUCAUUUUGAAUGGUGACCAUCUAUCUUAGUACCAUGGUAUAUCUUUUGUGGUCCAUUAUCCUUCAUAAAGAAGUAUCCAUCUUAGGUAAAUGGUUCUGGUUGUCAGACCUUUAUAAGUGGUUUGGUCAUGGAAUGCUAAACAGCCUUGCCAUGAACAAUAUUUGGAUAUGGCUUAAUAUUGAUAAAACUUGGACAAAGAUAUCCUUUGUUCCAAGAAAUUAAGUCCAACAAACUUGGUUAUUGUUCAAAAAUUUUACUCUAGGGUGUGAUUGUUUCUUUUUGAAAUUUAAAUACUCCUCUACUUAUUUCUCUUCCUCCUUCCUUUCUGUACUCUUCUUUCUCUUUUCUCAUCGUUAGUGAUUUAAAAAGCUCUAGGCGCCAAAAGACGCCAAGGCCCAAAAAUGCCCGAGGCGCUAGGUGCUCGUCCGAGCGAAGCGAGGCGCUAAAAUAUAAAAAUAUAUAAUAUAAUUAAUAAAUAUAAUUAUUUAAAAUUUUAUAUAAAAAUAUGCUAUUAAAUUAAGAAAAUCUAAGACACAAAAUCAUAAUGUCACAUUAACAAUAUUAAAAAUUAAUAAUUUUAAAUAAACCUAACAAUAUUAAUAAUAUACAGUAUACUAUUAACAGUAUACUGUUGUAUACUGUUAACAGUAUACAGUAUACUCUUAACAGUAUACAGAAGGAGAAGGAAGAGUGUAAGGGGGUGCUGAGUCUGUUGACUGAGAAAAGAGGAAGCGGCAACAGCAGCGGUAGCGGGAGCCGGAGCGAGAGUGUAAGGAGGCAGCAGCAGUAGGAGUGGGAGUGUAAGGAGGCAACGACAGCGGGAGCAGCGAGCGGCGACAGUAGCAGCGGCAAGUAGCGAUAGCGGCAACGAUAGUGGGAGCAGGAGCGGCGACAGCGGCAACGGUUGCGAGCAACGAUAGCGGCAAGUAGCGGGCGCGAGAGCGGCAGCGACAACGAGCAGGGUUAGCCGGUUAGGGUUGGGCAGCGACAGCUGAUAUCGAUUUUAGUUGGUUCGAUUGAACCAACUAACCACCGGAGACCGAACCAGACCUAAAAUCCUGGUUCGGUCACCUGGUAACACAGGCGCUCGCUCGAAGCGCCCAGCGCCUGGGCUCGGGCGAGCGCCUAGGCGAUGCCUCUUUGAAUCGUGCCGCUUGGAGGUUUAGCGAGGCGCUCGGGCCUUGCCUCGCCUCGCCCGAGCGCCUAGGCGAGCGCCCGAGUGCCUUUUUAAAUCACUGAUCAUCGCCUCUUCUUUCUUCCUCCUAUACCUCCGCCACCCCUUCCUCUUCAUAUCUCUCCUUUUUCCUCCUAUACCUCCACCACCCUAUCCUCUUUUCCUUCUUCCUUUUCAAGUCUCUUGUACAUACUAGUGUACCAUGUGUUUGUAUACCUGUACUUCCUUACAUAUCGAUCUGGCCUAGGAUCGGUAUUGGUCAAGCAUCUAAAACAAUGUUCCUUGUUCUAUAUAUUAUGCAUAGGUAACAUAAUUGAUACACUUUACUAUACCAGGAAGUUUUGAUGAUCUUCCCAUUUUUCAUAUGUUUCUAUGUAUUUAUAAGUAUGAUUUGAGUUAAACUAAAUAGAUAUCCUAUACAAACAUUAAGAACUUCACCUAAUUGGUUCUCUUUUCUGCUUCUAGAGAGUUAUCUCCAUGAUAUCUAAAUUUACGGGGAAAGAAACUAAUAAGUUACUAGAAGAUAAAAAGAAAAUCUCAACAAGCAAAUCGGUUGUUCUCAUUCCUUCCCCUCCAUCGCAUCCUCUAGUAAUCUUUCCAUCCAUUAAAUAAUGAUAAAAGCAGAUAUGCGACAUGAAAGAAAUAUAUUUUUCUAUCUAUUUAGACAACAACGGAUAUUCUGCUAUCCCGAUCACGAUCCUACUUUAUCUGGACACUGCUUCUCUUCGGCUUCUAUUGUAAAUAAAACUGAUUGUCUUGUCUCGCUUACCGCAAUAGACCUCAUAGACUUUCCAUGCACUGAUUCAAUUGGAACAAUCCAUUCUAUAGCUGAAUUGUGCUUAUCGAAUUUCAAUUGGGUAGCUGAACUUUGGGGACAAAUUAUGCACCCUCUCCAAAUCAAUUUGUAAACUGUUUUAUGCAAGUUAUGUAAUUUUGUAUCGUACCGGAGUUUCGAUGUUCGUUCUGUACGAUACGAAAUUGUAUACGGAGCGAUAUACCGCUCGGUAUAUAUAUAUAUAUAUAUAUAUAUAUAUAAUUCGAUGACGUUGCCUCUCUCUUCUCCCAAGCGAGGCGACGUCGCCUCGUUUAUAUAUAUAUAUAUUAAUAAAUAUAAAAUAUUAUAUAUAUAUAUAUAUUUAUUUAUUUAUAAAAGGCGACGUUGCAUCGUCUCGGCAACGUCGCCUCAUUUAUAUAUGUAUAUAUAUAUAUAUUUCGUUCCGUCCGGUAACGGGCGGUUCGUGUACCGGUAAGCUGAUGGACCGGUACGUACUCCUCAUACCGGAUAAUAUUAUUCGAAAUUGCAUACCUUGAUUUUAUGUAGUUGCAUAUCAGAAUAGCACACUAGUAACCUUUGUAAUUGAAGCUUCUUUUGCUUUCUAGCAAUGUAAACUAAUAGCACUCUUCGAUUAUGCUUGCUCAAGCUAUUACAAUGGGAGCAGAACUUCAUGAAACCCAAUUCUAUUAACAUUUAAUUUUUACAAUAUUUUUUUGAUGGAAAAUUUAUGUAAAAUAGUGUUUAUAUCAGCUAGUAUGACUACUACUAGCAUUUUUUUAAACAGGUCUAGUGAACCAAUUAUUGAUCUUCCAUUAGCAAUGAUUCUUCUGCAUCUUCGUAUUGAUAUAUUAUUGUUCUUAAUAAGGUGAUGAAUUGUGAAAUAUUUAGUUUUGAUCAAUCCCAUAUAAAACUCAUUAAGAUCAUCGUAGAUUCUUAUAUUGUCUAGUUGAGCUGAUUGUGUGCUUACCCUUUGUGUGUUGACAGUGUUAUGCAGGAGAGAAGAUCAAGGAGAGCAUACAAUCAUGUGGAAAAUGAAAAAUGAGCUUAUAGGAAACUGGUGUGAGCUAUGAUGAUGGAUGGUUUUGGUACUUGCUAGUUGCUGCAUAUAUCCGUUCAUUUGUCCUUGGCAAAAAAUCAGAACUAUGACAUCUUCCAUGAUUGUAUGUUGAAUCCCGAGGAUAAUGUUCGCUGAUUAGAAUCUUGCUGGAAGAGCUAAACAUGUCUUCUUUUUCCCAAAACAUUUUUGCCUUUUAUUGGACUCUUCUAUUUUCUUAUUAUUUGAUACUAUUCUUGUUUCAGCAGUACACAAGAACGUUAAGCUAUGUGGUACUCACGAAGUGCAUUGAUGUGAAUAAGACCUGGCGACUGCUUUAAAGCAUUUUAAUUGCAUCGUGGAUAUGCAUUGGUGAGAAUUGACCUGAUGACUGCUUUGGAGAAUCUUAUUAGCAUUUCUUGUUAUCAUGAUCUUUAUUUUUACCUGUCAUACAUGUCAACUUUUGUAGGUAGGUGGUUUAAGUUUUUAGUGUGGUAUGAUGAAAUUCAUGGAUGCCCCUUUUAUUGUCAAUUCAUAGAUGACAAUAGGUCAGGUUCUUUUUUAUACUAAUGAUUGUCAAUCGACAUAAGCUUUCUUGGAUAAUGUACUUGUUAAUUAGCUUUGGGAUAUAUAUGUUAGGGAAAUAGGUACUCCAAUUGCA